rnacentral:rRNA from 1 species
AAUCAACGCUGGCGGCGCGCUUAACACAUGCAAGUCGAACGAGAAACGCCCGAGCAAUCGGGUGAGUACAGUGGCGUACGGGUGAGUAACACGUGGAUGAUCUACCUCUUAGUGGGGGAAUAACUCUGGGAAACCGGAGCUAAUACCGCAUAAGCCUGGAAAGGGAAAGCGGUCGUUUCAAAAAUGACACGCUGAGAGAGGAGUCCGCGGCCGAUUAGCUAGUUGGCAGGGUAAAAGCCACCAAGGCAUUGAUCGGUAGCCGGCCUGAGAGGGCACACGGCCACACUGGCACUG